GCGGGAGUAGUUCAGGGGUAGAACGCCUCCUUGCCAAGGAGGAGGUCACGGGUUCGAAUCCCGCCUCCCGCU
rnacentral:tRNA from 1 species